rnacentral:rRNA from 1 species
GAGCCCGUGAAUCUGGGCGGCGGAAUUCAGAAUUGUUUGGCGUUCGCGCGUCAGGCUGUUUGAUAUUUCCGUCGCCGCGCAGACGUCGCGACCUGUUUGGYGUCGGUCUUUGGGAGCCGCGAACGAGUUUGCUGCGGGGCGCGUUYCGGCGUGCUUUCGCGGCAAAGUCGCGGACCUCUGGCCGACUCGCCAGACAGUAAGCGGAACGGUGUGCGGCGUUGCCCUGGUGCAGCGUCGAAGCCGGUCGGCGACGAUUUCUUCGGGCCUCUUCCC